CGUGAUUCAUCCAACAAACCUCAAUAAUUAUUUUUUCUUAAUGUGUAAUCUCAAAAUCCUAUAAAUCCAACACAACCAUUCUCAUUAGUGUUUAUACCAAUAACCAAAACACAAACCAAUUCUUGAAACCACAGGUUUCCUCAAAAGUUCAAAUUCAGUCAAAUUUCCAGUUUCAAUGGUCACUUUGGCCGAAAAGUAUUGGUUGGAAGGAAAGAUAAAAAGGAGAAACCAAUUUCAUAGAGAUUGACAUUCAUCUUCACCAACAUUGCGUCAACAAUUCACCAAAUAUUAUAAUCUCAUGGCUAUGAGAUUUGAAUUGAGGGCUAAGGCUAUAUCAUUUGUUAUGGUCAUCAACUCUUUGUAACCUUUCUUCCUACAACGCUUAGCAUAAUACUCGAAAGAGGAGGAGGAGGUGGUACGAAGGAAAGGAAAAGUUCCUGGAUGAUGAUCAAAUGAAUGAAAAAUACACUUCCUCAAUUCAAGGGAGGUUUGCCUAGGUUGAUUCCUUUUAUUCCUCUGAUUCAUAGCCUAAGUGGGAAAAAUGUGUCUAAGUAGAAUGUAAUUUUAAUAUAGCCUAUUCUACCAAGUUAAUUUUACCCUUUAGUGACUAUGUUAGCCUUUUGUUUAAUAUUUUCUUCCUUUGCUAACUAGCCACCUAAAUAUGUAUUGUUGGGUGUUCACUAAUAGAGUAUAAAACAUAUUCGUGAACCUCAACCAUUAGCUUAAGCGUCCAUUAACAUGAUAUCAGAGCCAAUGUGAUAUAAAGGUUACGGGUUCAAAUCUCAUUCA